rnacentral:misc_RNA from 1 species
UCCGAGUUGACCCCGGCAGUAUCCCAUGAGUUCCCACCAUUACGUGCUGGCAACAUAGGACGAGGGUUGCGCUCGUUGCGGGACUUAACCCAACAUGUCACCACACGAGCUGACAACAGCCAUGCAGCACCUGUCUCCCGGCUGUAUUGCUACAGAAGACGUAUUUCUGCGUUUGUCCGGGGAUGUCAAACCCAGGUAAGGUUUUGCGCGUUGCUUCGAAUUAAACCACAUGAUCCACCGCUUGUGCGGGCCCCCGUCAAUUCCUUUGAGUUUUAGUCUUGCGACCGUACUUCCCAGGCGGGGUACUUAUUGCGUUAGCUCCGGCUCUGCAGGGGUCUAUUCCCACAAAGCCUAGUACCCAUCGUUUACAGCGUGGACUAC